CACACCUUCCCAAGAGUG
rnacentral:tRNA from 1 species